GUCUUUGUAGCGCAAUGGGUAGCGCGUUGGACUUCUAAACCAAAGGUUGUGGGUUCGAUUCCCACCUGGGAGG
rnacentral:tRNA from 1 species